UACGUAGGGCGCAAGCGUUGUCCGGAAUUAUUGGGCGUAAAGAGCGCGCAGGCGGUCGUUCAAGUCGAGUGUGAAAGCCCCCGGCUCAACUGGGGAGGGUCAUUCGAUACUGAUCGACUCGAAGGCAGGAGAGGGAAGUGGAAUUCCCGGUGUAGUGGUGAAAUGCGUAGAUAUCGGGAGGAACACCAGUGGCGAAGGCGACUUCCUGGCCUGUUCUUGACGCUGAGGCGCGAAAGCUAGGGGAGCAAACGGG
rnacentral:rRNA from 1 species